GUCCAGACUCCUACGGGAGGCAGCAGUGGGGGAUAUUGCACAAUGGGGGGAACCCUGAUGCAGCGACGCCGCGUGGGUGAAGGAGUAUUUCGGUAUGUAAAGCCCUAUCAGCAGGGAAGAACAAUGACGGUACCUGACUAAGAAGCACCGGCUAAAUACGUGCCAGCAGCCGCGGUAAUACGUAUGGUGCAAGCGUUAUCCGGAUUUACUGGGUGUAAAGGGAGCGCAGGCGGCGCGUUAAGCCUGGUGUGAAAGUCCGCGGCCCAACCGCGGGACUGCAUUGGGAACUGGCGCGCUGGAGUGCCGGAGGGGUAGGCGGAAUUCCUAGUGUAGCGGUGAAAUGCGUAGAUAUUAGGAGGAACACCAGUGGCGAAGGCGGUCUGCUGGACAGCAACUGACGCUGAGGCGCGAAAGCGUGGGGAGCAAACAGGAUUAGAUACCCCAGUACG
rnacentral:rRNA from 1 species